UACGGAGGGGGCUAGCGUUGUUCGGAAUUACUGGGCGUAAAGCGCACGUAGGCGGAUUUGUAAGUCAGGGGUGAAAUCCCGGGGCUCAACCCCGGAACUGCCUUUGAUACUGCAAAUCUCGAGUCCGGAAGAGGUGAGUGGAAUUCCUAGUGUAGAGGUGAAAUUCGUAGAUAUUAGGAAGAACACCAGUGGCGAAGGCGGCUCACUGGUCCGGUACUGACGCUGAGGUGCGAAAGCGUGGGGAGCAAACAGG
rnacentral:rRNA from 1 species